AGUGAACGCUGGCGGUAGGCCUAACACAUGCAAGUCGAACGGCAGCACAGUAAGAGCUUGCUCUUACGGGUGGCGAGUGGCGGACGGGUGAGGAAUACAUCGGAAUCUACUUUUUCGUGGGGGAUAACGUAGGGAAACUUACGCUAAUACCGCAUACGACCUACGGGUGAAAGCAGGGGAUCUUCGGACCUUGCGCGAUUGAAUGAGCCGAUGUCGGAUUAGCUAGUUGGCGGGGUAAAGGCCCACCAAGGCGACGAUCCGUAGCUGGUCUGAGAGGAUGAUCCGCCAAAAUGGAACUGAGACACGGUCCAGACUCCUACGGGAGGCAGCAGUGGGGAAUAUUGGACAAUGGGCGAAAGCCUGAUCCAGCCAUACCGCGUGGGUGAAGAAGGCCUUCGGGUUGUAAAGCCCUUUUGUUGGGAAAGAAAAGCAGCAGGUUAAUACCCCGCUGUUCUGACGGUACCCAAAGAAUAAGCACCGGCUAACUUCGUG
rnacentral:rRNA from 1 species